rnacentral:rRNA from 1 species
CCUACGGGAGGCAGCAGUGAGGAAUAUUGGUCAAUGGACGGAAGUCUGAACCAGCCAUGCCGCGUGCAGGAUGACGGCUCUAUGAGUUGUAAACUGCUUUUGUACGAGAAUAAUAGUUCUUACGUGUAGGGAUUUGAAUGUAUCGUACGAAUAAGGAUCGGCUAACUCCGUGCCAGCAGCCGCGGUAAUACGGAGGAUGCGAGCGUUAUCCGGAUUUAUUGGGUUUAAAGGGUGCGCAGGCGGCCUGUUAAGUCAGCGGUAAAAGCCCGGGGCUCAACCCCGGCGAGCCGUUGAAACUGGCGGGCUGGAGUUGGAGAGAAGUACGCGGAAUGCGCGGUGUAGCGGUGAAAUGCUUAGAUAUCGCGCAGAACCCCGAUUGCGAAGGCAGCGUACCGGCUCCACACUGACGCUGAGGCACGAAAGCGUGGGUAUCGAACAGGAUUAGAUACCCUGGUAGUC